rnacentral:rRNA from 1 species
AUUGAACGCUGGCGGCAGGCCUAACACAUGCAAGUCGAACGAGUGGCGGACGGGUGAGUAAUGUCUGGGAAACUGCCUGAUGGAGGGGGAUAACUACUGGAAACGGUAGCUAAUACCGCAUACCAUCGGAUGUGCCCAGAUGGGAUUAGCUAGGAGGUGGGGUAACGGCUCACCUAGGCGUCGAUCCCUAGCUGGUCUGAGAGGAUGACCAGCCACACUGGAACUGAGACACGGUCCAGACUCCUACGGGAGGCAGCAGUGGGGAAUAUUGCACAAUGGGCGCAAGCCUGAUACAGCCAUGCCGCGUGUAUGAAGAAGGCCUUCGGGUUGUAAAGUACUUUCAGCGGGGAGGCGUUACCCGCAGAAGAAGCACCGGCUAACUCCGUGCCAGCCGCCGCGGUAAUUC